rnacentral:rRNA from 1 species
GAUCCUGGCUCAGGAUGAACGCUAGCGACAGGCCUAACACAUGCAAGUCGAGGGGCAGCACAAGGAGUAAUCUGAGGUGGCGACCGGCGCACGGGUGAGUAACACGUAUGCAACCUGGCUGUAAGAGGGGAAUAACCCGGAGAAAUCCGGACUAAUACCGCAUACUACUUAGAAUCCGCAUGGAUUUUAAGUUAAACAUUUAUGGCUUACAGAUGGGCAUGCGUAUGAUUAGCUGGUUGGAGAGGUAACGGCUCCCCAAGGCAACGAUCAUUAGGGGUUCUGAGAGGAAGGUCCCCCACACUGGUACUGAGACACGGACCAGACUCCUACGGGAGGCAGCAGUGAGGAAUAUUGGUCAAUGGACGCAAGUCUGAACCAGCCAAGUCCGCGUGAAGGAAGAAUGUCCUAUGGAUUGUAAACUUCUUUUGAAGGGGAAUAAAGUACGGUACGUGUACCGUUUUGUAUGUACCCUUCGAAUAAGGAUCGGCUAACUCCGUGCCAGCAGCAGC